CCUAAAAUGAUUUAAAUAUUGUCUAGACGAUAAAAUGGUUUAAUAUUUUCUAGAAUUACUAAACCAACAACAUAUGACAAUAUUGAGAAAACCCACAAAUAAUGACAUAAUGUUGAUUGAAAUAGCUUAAUGUGGCUAGGAAGUAAGCCGCACCGGGGAUAGGCGGAUAGCCGCACAAACGGGCAGGUGCACCCCAGGAUGGUCCAGACGAUGGACCUAUCAACUAGGUGAUGCAUAGAGUAUAUAGAUCUGCAUUGACCAGGCAACAAUUGUGAGAUUCAAUGCUCACAUCUUUUUUGAUGCAAAACUGAAACUUACCCCUUUCGCGACUAGGUCUAUUAAUGCAAUAUUAAAAGUAAUAACAGAUUAGAAAGUCCUUGGAGAAAGGAUGGGUACAGUUACAACACGUGCCAAGAUACGACGGCAAUUUGCUUCUUAGAAACAGAAAUAAAAACAUGAUUUCAUCUAUCACAGAUUUUCAACGGUCAACGCACAACAGAAAGGGCGCACCACGCACGGGCCUGCACUACAACAUUAGAAACAGAAAUAAAAACAUGAUUUCAUCUAUCACAGAUUUUCAAUCUGCGUCCUGCGCUGCGCUGCGCUGCCUGCAUCAGUGCCAAACCAAAAUGCAUGCUGUUCCUCGAGACUCAAGUCUGUUCCGGUUGUAUGGCGAGCCGCGCGCCUUCUUUUGCUACGCCACUUGGAGCUGUGGGGUGGCAAGCUUGUCCAGUUCCACAGGGAUGUCGAGGCCGGACUUUGUCAGGCAGUCCACCAUCGUAGGGAUGUCCUUCAUCAAAGCUUCCUCCAACUC
rnacentral:misc_RNA from 1 species